rnacentral:rRNA from 1 species
UACGUAGGGUGCAAGCGUUGUCCGGAAUUAUUGGGCGUAAAGAGCUCGUAGGCGGCUUGUCGCGUCGUUCGUGAAAACUCACAGCUCAACUGUGAGCUUGCGGUCGAUACGGGCAGGCUAGAGUUCGGUAGGGGAGACUGGAAUUCCUGGUGUAGCGGUGAAAUGCGCAGGUAUCAGGAGGAACACCGGUGGCGAAGGCGGGUCUCUGGGCCGAUACUGACGCUGAGGAGCGAAAGCGUGGGGAGCGAACAGG